rnacentral:rRNA from 1 species
GAUGAACGCUGGCGGCGUGCCUAAUACAUGCAAGUCGAACGCUGGAGCUCUAGCUUGCUAGAUCGCAGGAGUGGCGAACGGGUGAGUAAUACAUAAGCAACCUACCCACGAAGACUGGGAUAAUCUCUGGAAACGGGGACUAAUACCGGAUAGGUAAUCGGAAGGCAUCUUCUGGUUAUUAAAGGUUAAAAACACUGGUGGAUGGGCUUAUGGCGCAUUAGUUAGUUGGGGAGGUAACGGCCCACCAAGACGAUGAUGCGUAGCCGGCCUGAGAGGGUGAACGGCCACAGUAGGACUGAGACACGGCCCAGACUCCUACGGGAGGCAGCAGUAGGGGAUUUUCGGCAGUGGGAGCAACCCUGACCGGGCGACGCCGCGUGAGUGAAGGCGGCCUUCGGGUUGUAAAGCUCUGUUGUAAGGGAAGAACGGUAGAUAGAGAAUAUCUAAGUGACGGUACCUUACCAGAAAGCCACGGCUAACUACGUG